rnacentral:rRNA from 1 species
ACAGGAAGCAGCUUGCUGCUUCGCUGACGAGUGGCGGACGGGUGAGUAAUGUCUGGGAAGCUGCCUGAUGGAGGGGGAUAACUACUGGAAACGGUAGCUAAUACCGCAUAAUGUCGCAAGACCAAAGAGGGGGACCUUCGGGCCUCUUGCCAUCGGAUGUGCCCAGAUGGGAUUAGCUUGUUGGUGGGGUAACGGCUCACCAAGGCGACGAUCCCUAGCUGGUCUGAGAGGAUGACCAGCCACACUGGAACUGAGACACGGUCCAGACUCCUACGGGAGGCAGCAGUGGGGAAUAUUGCACAAUGGGCGCAAGCCUGAUGCAGCCAUGCCGCGUGUAUGAAGAAGGCCUUCGGGUUGUAAAGUACUUUCAGCGGGGAGGAAGGGAGUAAAGUUAAUACCUUUGCUCAUUGACGUUACCCGCAGAAGAAGCACCGGCUAACUCCGUGCCAGCAGCCGCGGUAAUACGGAGGGUGCAAGCGUUAAUCGGAAUUACUGGGCGUAAAGCGCACGCAGGCGGUUUGUUAAGUCAGAUGUGAAAUCCCCGGGCUCAACCUGGGAACUGCAUCUGAUACUGGCAAGCUUGAGUCUCGUAGAGGGGGGUAGAAUUCCAGGUGUAGCGGUGAAAUGCGUAGAGAUCUGGAGGAAUACCGGUGGCGAAGGCGGCCCCCUGGACGAAGACUGACGCUCAGGUGCGAAAGCGUGGGGAGCAAACAGGAUUAGAUACCCUGGUAGUCCACGCCGUAAACGAUGUCGACUUGGAGGUUGUGCCCUUGAGGCGUGGCUUCCGGAGCUAACGCGUUAAGUCGACCGCCUGGGGAGUACGGCCGCAAGGUUAAAACUCAAAUGAAUUGACGGGGCCCGCACAAGCGGUGGAGCAUGUGGUUUAAUUCGAUGCAACGCGAAGAACCUUACCUGGUCUUGACAUCCACGGAAGUUUUCAGAGAUGAGAAUGUGCCUUCGGGAACCGUGAGACAGGUGCUGCAUGGCCGUCGUCAGCUCGUGUUGUGAAAUGUUGGGUUGAGUCCCGCAACGAGCGCAACCCUUAUCCUUUGUUGCCAGCGGUCCGGCCGGGAACUCAAAGGAGACUGCCAGUGAUAAACUGGAGAAAGGUGGGGAUGACGUCAAGUCAUCAUGGCCCUUACGACCAGGGCUACACACGUGCUACAAUGGCGCAUACAAAGAGAAGCGACCUCGCGAGAGCAAGCGGACCUCAUAAAGUGCGUCGUAGUCCGGAUUGGAGUCUGCAACUCGACUCCAUGAAGUCGGAAUCGCUAGUAAUCGUGGAUCAGAAUGCCACGGUGAAUACGUUCCCGGGCCUUGUACACACCGCCCGUCACACCAUGGGAGUGGGUUGCAAAAGAAGUAGGUAGCUUAACCUUCGGGAGGGCGCUUACCACUUUGUGAUUCAUGACUGGGGUGAAGUCGUAACAAGGUA